UGCGCCCGCACCCAAUCACCCGCGUCUCGCCCCACUCCCACCCCAGCCGCCAAACGAACCCUAGCCCUCUUUCUCUUUCCCCUCGAUCCCCACGAGCCGCCGCACCCCUCCCUCGAUCCCCACCAUCGUCUCCUCGCCAGCAGCCUCCGGCCGACCUCGUCUCUCCACUCGCCUCCUCCUCUCCUCUAUCAUGUCGCCGUCGAUCCCACUGCCAGCCUUCUCCUCUGCUUGCCUCCUCCUGUCCUCUUCCAUGUCACCGUCGAUCCAGAUCGGACGUAGGUCGUCUUCGCGAUGUGGGUGCGGAUGUAGGGGAGGUGUAGGAUGCGGACGACAAGGGAAGGAGGAGGCCGGCGAGGAAGGCAAGCACAGCGGGGGAGGAGAAGGUGAGCGAUCCUAGCAUGGGGAAGGGGCAGGGUGAGGCCUCGCUCACCUGUCGGCAGCCGAGUUGUUGCGCCACCGCGUCGUCACCUCCUCUGCACCAUGAGAGGCGCCACCUCUGCCUCCACCCCCCCACUGGGCAAGGAGCUCGAGGCAGGCGGUCUGGGAAGGCCAGAGGAACCAGGAGCUCAUCCCUCCUCCCAUGGCUGCCUCGUGGAUCUGGAGGUGCCUGUUGCAGGCGGCGCGAGCGAUGCAAGCCGGCGGCGAACUAGGUCCAUGGACAUUGUCAUAAUGGUCACCUUAUCGCAGUGUAUUAUUUUUGGAUCUCAUAUUCCUCAAGGCGCUCCAUCCUCUGAUUCAAUGUCUGACGAUCUAAGAAAUAAGAGGAGGAAUAAUCUAGCAGAAGAAUUUGGUGAAGAAGAACAAGAUUGUGAUGUCCAUAUAUGGGGAUUUUUUUGUCAAUUUUGUUGCUUCAGUAUGUAGGUGCUACUGUCCAUGUGGGAUAUCUAAUAGGUCAGACUGGUUUGCUAGCUUAAUUUUUUAGCUUGAUGUUUUCAUUUAGGGGUGUCCUCUUCAGCUGCAUCUUUUGUGCAGCUACAAAAUUCUAUGUUUCAAAGCACUUAUUUCCAUAUUCUGUUUAUUAUUUUUAAGUCAUGAAAACUCUUUUCGGUCUGCUUGAUCACUCCACUUCCAUGUUUAUCCUUGCAGAAAAGAAUACCUUUAUCCUGAUAGGCAUGGAAACACCGGUUCGCAUUGAGUGCAUCAUCGCUAAUCAGCUACUAUGUAUGGUCAGCGGACAUGCUUGCUUAUUCCUGUAACAUAUCAUUACUCUAUCUGCUUAGCCUUUCUAACUUUUAAGAUUUGAUCAAUUCUUUAGAAGUUCAUACAGAUCUGGAAGUAUUUGGUUUUGUUGGUCAAAUCCGUUACAUGUAUGUCCUUGUUUAUUUUAUUGUUCGAACAAGAUAUCAGAUCACCUACAUUCAUUAUUCUUGAUUACAGUCUCGUACUAAAGUAAUCUAAAAUGGUCCGAAUAGUUGUAGUAAUUCAUAAAUAUUUUCAGUGUAGUUCUUAUUUGGUUUCUAGGCAUAGAUUUUACUUCAAAAUUUUGAUCUUUAUUUGGUUAGUAAGGCUCUAGAAUAAAACAGACCAAUGAUAUAUAUACAAAUAGACACAAUAGGAGUUAACUGGUACCUAGCUUUUGAAACCUCUGAUAUAUACAAAAUAUUAUUUGAGUAGAACAGGAGAGAUGCAAUCUUAUGGAUAUUUCUGCAUUUGUAAGAAACUUUCCAGCUUGGCAAGAGGGCUUGACUAGCCAUGUGUAGGACUCAGCCAUGCUGCCUUCCAAAUGAUUAGUCAUUGGUGUUUUCUUAUGUUCCUGUUAGCCCAAGUGCAACAGAUAAGUAGACUGUUAUGUUGAAAAAAGGAAAGAGACUACUCUUUUGUUACUUACAGUACAGAUAUAAGCUAUAACAUCAGAGAGCAAUGGAUAUAGAAGAAAUAUGUAAACAGUUGUCCCUAGAAGAAAUAUGCAACUACUUAUUCAGUAGAGAGCAAGGGACAUAUAAGAAAUCUCCAGGUAGCUUCACUUAGAUGCAUCAUCUUCUGCUAGGAGUCAGCUUGAAGAACGACCUUCUCAGGUUAAUUCUUGGGAGACUGCAACUGACAUGCUGGAUGGGGAAUAACCAAAUUUGUGGACAAAGACAAAGAGUUCAUCGCAAGGGGUGGUGUUUAGGAUAUAUACACAAAAGAGGAAACUUUUUUUUGUACAGAACCAAAUUAUAUGAUGUAAUUGACCACUAUUUCUAAGAAAUGUUCAUCAUGUAUUAAGUACAUUUUAUUGUGUCACUUCUUUUGAGGGAUAGCUUUAUUCAUCAAACAUCACAAAGUGUGUGAUAGAGUU